UCCCUGGUGGUCUAGUGGCUAGGAUUUGGCGUUUUCACUGCCGCGACCCGGGUUCGAUUCCCAGUCAGGGAA
rfam:Chlorocebus sabaeus isolate 1994-021 chromosome 20, whole genome shotgun sequence.